UACGUAGGUGGCAAGCGUUGUCCGGAUUUAUUGGGCGUAAAGAGCUCGUAGGCGGCUUGUCGCGUCGUUCGUGAAAACCCACAGCUCAACUGUGGGCUUGCGGUCGAUACGGGCAGGCUGGAGUUCGGUAGGGGAGACUGGAAUUCCUGGUGUAGCGGUGAAAUGCGCAGAUAUCAGGAGGAACACCGGUGGCGAAGGCGGGUCUCUGGGCCGAUACUGACGCUGAGGAGCGAAAGCGUGGGGAGCGAACAGG
rnacentral:rRNA from 1 species